AUGCGCGGUGGGAGGAGGCUGCCGUGUUUUGGCGGCUGCUGGCUCCAGGCAGGAAGCUUCUUGUCCUCAGGCCCUGAUUGCCACCGCUGGCAGGAGGCAGAGGUGAAGCGUUGUGCCCAUGUCAUCCUCUAGCCCUUCACACUUUGGCGUUUGGCAUUUGGAUGAUGGUAUGGAAGCUUCACAAGGGCCAAAGCUUUUUGCUGGAAUAUUCUGAGGGAAGACAACUUCAUUGAGAACUCGUUGAUCAGUCAGGAAACUCAGGCAAUGCUCUGCUAGUAAUGCUCUCCAAAGAACAAAGGCAACACUGCAUCUCUAGAAUUGAUAGAAUUAACAUGAUGUACUUUCAAUUUCGUAAAUCCUUCUUAGUUUGAUUCAGAUCUUGAGCAAUUCACAGUAAUUCUAAUGCCAUUUCUUCCACUUUGGUUUUUGAUUACUCUUGAUUUCCAGCGGUGAGCAUUGUACCUGAGUUGCAGAGUGGUACUACAAAGGAAUAUUGUUAGCUAAGCCAAAUAAAGGAUGGAUUAGCCAAAGCAAAAUGGUUUUGAAAAUCUCAUGAGGCUAUUUGACAGCAUGUUCAAAAGCAAAAUGUCAUUUGUAUUAUAACACAUCCUGUCUUCAUUUGCUCUACUGAUUUGGUUGCAGGAGCAAAUGUACCUCAUUUGCAGUUAAGAAGGAUUGCAUAUACAGGCAACAUCUGCAAAAGUGAAAUGUGGAACUUUGUUUCAGUUGAAGCUGGUACUAGCAAACAUCAACCAUGUCCGAUCACUUAAUUUAAAUCUCUUAAUUGUCUACUAGAUUAACUGACCUAAUAGAGAUUCUGCACGAAUAAUACACAAUAAGAAUUAAAAAUACGUUAUUCUGUAUUCUUCUGCUUUGUUUGUUUAGGAGACUUCAUAGAUGAAAUUCCCCUGAUAGAGACUGUUAGUUGAAGAGGUACUUUUUCAAAAUUGUUAAUGGAGAUACAAACCUUUCUUUUCAAUAAUAACUGCCAUAUUCUUACAAAGUAGAAGAGUAGUGUUAUUUUCCUUUUAUUGGUAGAAGAAGAGGAAUUAACUUGGUGAAGGCUGUGGUAACUCACUGUUAGGUUGGUGAAUGAAGCUAAGUUUUGUAAACUGAAGUCUGCCUUCAGUUUGCUUGCCUUCUUGGUACUGUGAUUGUUCAGAGAGAAAGUUCAAAAGAAAACAGACUGAGAGGUGUACAAACAGCAUACAUUUUUCAUGGAUAUUUUUCUUCUACUCCUGCAGCUAUGAACCAGCACUGAAGAAAGUACUUGUACAAUGCAGCAAUUCUUCUAUUCUUCAGGUUUUAACAAUUGUUCUUCUUUUACCUAUUUCUUUUAAUGUAAGAGUUUAAUCUUUCAGGAUUCAGAUUUUUUCCUGGUGUGUUUUGUCUUCGCUUUUUUGUUACUGUCAGUUAUGUUGCAUUCUUGUCUUUUUUGUUUGUUUUUUUGUUUGUUUCCUAUUAGACCAAUUUGAGACAGGCUGCAUAUGAAAUUAUGGUGUCAUUAAUAUAGACCAUAAUAGCAAAUGAAGGCCUCAAAAAUGAUGCUUCUAAGCAGUGGGACUUUGAAAAUAAUUGAUACAGAAAGGUAAACUUUUAAAUCAACUUACAUGUUCGUGGUCAAAACAACAUUAAAAUAUCUGCAGACAGUGGAGCAGAGGUCAUUAUAGUGAAGGAUGGUAUGAAUAUGCAGUAAAAAAAUACUGUUGGGACCUAUAGCAAAUAUAUAUUUAUGUAUUC
rnacentral:lncRNA from 7 species